UACGUAGGGCGCAAGCGUUGUCCGGAAUUAUUGGGCGUAAAGAGCUCGUAGGCGGCUUGUCACGUCGGGUGUGAAAGCCCGGGGCUUAACCCCGGGUCUGCAUUCGAUACGGGCAGGCUAGAGUGUGGUAGGGGAGAUCGGAAUUCCUGGUGUAGCGGUGAAAUGCGCAGAUAUCAGGAGGAACACCGGUGGCGAAGGCGGCAUCCUGGACCGAUAUUGACGCUGAUGCGCGAAAGCCAGGGGAGCAAACGGG
rnacentral:rRNA from 1 species